rnacentral:rRNA from 1 species
AUUGAACGCUGGCGGCAGGCCUAACACAUGCAAGUCGAGCGGAUGUCCUUUGCUUUCUCCUGGAUUCAGCGGCGGACGGGUGAGUAAUUCCUAGGUUUCUGCCUGGUUGUGUUUGAUUACGUCCUCACACGGCCGCUAAUUCCGCUUACGUCCUGAUUGUUAAACUGGUGGUUCUUCGGUCCUCACGCUUUCAGCUUUUCCUAGGUCGUAUUAGCUAGUUGGUGUGGUAAAGGCCUAACAAGGCGACGAUCCGUAACUGGUAUGAGAGGAUGAUCAGUCAAACUGGAACUGAGAAACGGUAAAGACUCGUACGGGAGGGAGCAGUGGGGAAUAUUGGACAAUGGGCGAAAGCGUGAGAGAGCGAGGACGCGUGUGUGAAGAAGGUCUUGGGAUUGUAAAGAACUUUAAGUUGGGAGGAAGGGAAGUAAGAUAAGAAAUUGCUGUAUUGAAGUUAACAAGAGAAUAAGCACCGGCUAACUUCGUG